AGGUUAAGCUACAAAGAGCACACGGAGGAUGCCUAGGCGCCAGGAGCCGACGAAGGACGUGGCGAACAACGAUAACGCCUCGGGGAGCUGUAAGCAAGCUUUGAUCCGGGGAUGUCCGAAUGGGGAAACCCGGCUGUCUUCAUCGACAGUCACUACUCAUUGAAUUCAUAGGUGAGUGAGAGGCAGACCAGGGGAACUGAAACAUCUAAGUACCCUGAGGAAGAGAAAACAAUAGUGAUUCCGUCAGUAGCGGCGAGCGAACGCGGAUUAGCCCAAACCAAGGAGCUUGCUCCUUGGGGUUGUGGGACGUCUCACAUGGAGUUACAAAGGAACCGGUUAGAUGAAGAGGUCUGGAAAGGCCCGCCAGAGAAGGUAAAAGCCCUGUAGUUCAAAACUUGUUCCCUCCGAGACGGAUCCCGAGUAGUGCGGGGCACGUGAAACCCCGUAUGAAUCCGGCAGGACCAUCUGCCAAGGCUAAAUACUCCCUGGCGACCGAUAGUGAAGCAGUACCGUGAGGGAAAGGUGAAAAGCACCCCGGAAGGGGAGUGAAAUAGAUCCUGAAACCGUGUGCUUACAAGAAGUCAGAGCCCUAUGAUAUUUUCCUUUGGAAAAAUCACGGGUGAUGGCGUGCCUUUUGUAGAAUGAACCGGCGAGUUACGUUCCCGUGCAAGGUUAAGGUGAAGAGCUGAAGCCGCAGCGAAAGCGAGUCUGAAUAGGGCGAAUGAGUACGUGGACGUAGACCCGAAACCGGGUGAUCUACCCCUGUCCAGGGUGAAGGUGCGGUAACACGCACUGGAGGCCCGAACCCACGCAUGUUGAAAAAUGCGGGGAUGAGGUGGGGGCAGCGGAGAAAUUCCAAUCGAACCCGGAGAUAGCUGGUUCUCCCCGAAUUAGCUUUAGGGCUAGCCUCGGCAAAAAGAAUCGUGGAGGUAGAGCACUGAUUGGGUGCGGGGCCCGCAAGGG
rnacentral:rRNA from 1 species